GGUUAAGCGACUAAGCGUACACGGUGGAUGCCCUGGCAGUCAGAGGCGAUGAAGGACGUGCUAAUCUGCGAUAAGCGUCGGUAAGGUGAUAUGAACCGUUAUAACCGGCGAUUUCCGAAUGGGGAAACCCAGUGUGUUUCGACACACUAUCAUUAACUGAAUCCAUAGGUUAAUGAGGCGAACCGGGGGAACUGAAACAUCUAAGUACCCCGAGGAAAAGAAAUCAACCGAGAUUCCCCCAGUAGCGGCGAGCGAACGGGGAGGAGCCCAGAGCCUGAAUCAGUGUGUGUGUUAGUGGAAGCGUCUGGAAAGGCGCGCGAUACAGGGUGACAGCCCCGUACACAAAAAUGCACAUAUUGUGAGCUCGAUGAGUAGGGCGGGACACGUGGUAUCCUGUCUGAAUAUGGGGGGACCAUCCUCCAAGGCUAAAUACUCCUGACUGACCGAUAGUGAACCAGUACCGUGAGGGAAAGGCGAAAAGAACCCCGGCGAGGGGAGUGAAAAAGAACCUGAAACCGUGUACGUACAAGCAGUGGGAGCCUCUUUUAUGGGGUGACUGCGUACCUUUUGUAUAAUGGGUCAGCGACUUAUAUUCUGUAGCAAGGUUAACCGAAUAGGGGAGCCGAAGGGAAACCGAGUCUUAACUGGGCGUUAAGUUGCAGGGUAUAGACCCGAAACCCGGUGAUCUAGCCAUGGGCAGGUUGAAGGUUGGGUAACACUAACUGGAGGACCGAACCGACUAAUGUUGAAAAAUUAGCGGAUGACUUGUGGCUGGGGGUGAAAGGCCAAUCAAACCGGGAGAUAGCUGGUUCUCCCCGAAAGCUAUUUAGGUAGCGCCUCGUGAAUUCAUCUCCGGGGGUAGAGCACUGUUUCGGCAAGGGGGUCAUCCCGACUUACCAACCCGAUGCAAACUGCGAAUACCGGAGAAUGUUAUCACGGGAGACACACGGCGGGUGCUAACGUCCGUCGUGAAGAGGGAAACAACCCAGACCGCCAGCUAAGGUCCCAAAGUCAUGGUUAAGUGGGAAACGAUGUGGGAAGGCCCAGACAGCCAGGAUGUUGGCUUAGAAGCAGCCAUCAUUUAAAGAAAGCGUAAUAGCUCACUGGUCGAGUCGGCCUGCGCGGAAGAUGUAACGGGGCUAAACCAUGCACCGAAGCUGCGGCAGCGACGCUGAUGCGUUGUUGGGUAGGGGAGCGUUCUGUAAGCCUGUGAAGGUGUGCUGUGAGGCAUGCUGGAGGUAUCAGAAGUGCGAAUGCUGACAUAAGUAACGAUAAAGCGGGUGAAAAGCCCGCUCGCCGGAAGACCAAGGGUUCCUGUCCAACGUUAAUCGGGGCAGGGUGAGUCGACCCCUAAGGCGAGGCCGAAAGGCGUAGUCGAUGGGAAACAGGUUAAUAUUCCUGUACUUGGUGUUACUGCGAAGGGGGGACGGAGAAGGCUAUGUUGGCCGGGCGACGGUUGUCCCGGUUUAAGCGUGUAGGCUGGUUUUCCAGGCAAAUCCGGAAAAUCAAGGCUGAGGCGUGAUGACGAGGCACUACGGUGCUGAAGCAACAAAUGCCCUGCUUCCAGGAAAAGCCUCUAAGCAUCAGGUAACAUCAAAUCGUACCCCAAACCGACACAGGUGGUCAGGUAGAGAAUACCAAGGCGCUUGAGAGAACUCGGGUGAAGGAACUAGGCAAAAUGGUGCCGUAACUUCGGGAGAAGGCACGCUGAUAUGUAGGUGAAGUCCCUCGCGGAUGGAGCUGAAAUCAGUCGAAGAUACCAGCUGGCUGCAACUGUUUAUUAAAAACACAGCACUGUGCAAACACGAAAGUGGACGUAUACGGUGUGACGCCUGCCCGGUGCCGGAAGGUUAAUUGAUGGGGUCAGCGCAAGCGAAGCUCUUGAUCGAAGCCCCGGUAAACGGCGGCCGUAACUAUAACGGUCCUAAGGUAGCGAAAUUCCUUGUCGGGUAAGUUCCGACCUGCACGAAUGGCGUAAUGAUGGCCAGGCUGUCUCCACCCGAGACUCAGUGAAAUUGAACUCGCUGUGAAGAUGCAGUGUACCCGCGGCAAGACGGAAAGACCCCGUGAACCUUUACUAUAGCUUGACACUGAACAUUGAGCCUUGAUGUGUAGGAUAGGUGGGAGGCUUAGAAGUGUGGACGCCAGUCUGCAUGGAGCCGACCUUGAAAUACCACCCUUUAAUGUUUGAUGUUCUAACGUUGACCCGUAAUCCGGGUUGCGGACAGUGUCUGGUGGGUAGUUUGACUGGGGCGGUCUCCUCCUAAAGAGUAACGGAGGAGCACGAAGGUUGGCUAAUCCUGGUCGGACAUCAGGAGGUUAGUGCAAUGGCAUAAGCCAGCUUGACUGCGAGCGUGACGGCGCGAGCAGGUGCGAAAGCAGGUCAUAGUGAUCCGGUGGUUCUGAAUGGAAGGGCCAUCGCUCAACGGAUAAAAGGUACUCCGGGGAUAACAGGCUGAUACCGCCCAAGAGUUCAUAUCGACGGCGGUGUUUGGCACCUCGAUGUCGGCUCAUCACAUCCUGGGGCUGAAGUAGGUCCCAAGGGUAUGGCUGUUCGCCAUUUAAAGUGGUACGCGAGCUGGGUUUAGAACGUCGUGAGACAGUUCGGUCCCUAUCUGCCGUGGGCGCUGGAGAACUGAGGGGGGCUGCUCCUAGUACGAGAGGACCGGAGUGGACGCAUCACUGGUGUUCGGGUUGUCAUGCCAAUGGCACUGCCCGGUAGCUAAAUGCGGAAGAGAUAAGUGCUGAAAGCAUCUAAGCACGAAACUUGCCCCGAGAUGAGUUCUCCCUGACUCCUUGAGAGUCCUGAAGGAACGUUGAAGACGACGACGUUGAUAGGCCGGGUGUGUAAGCGCAGCGAUGCGUUGAGCUAACCGGUACUAAUGAACCGUGAGGCUUAACCUU
rnacentral:rRNA from 1 species